UUUCCUUUACAAACGAGAGUAAAGUGAAUCCUGGAGUCUGUCUGAUUAAAGCGAGGCAGAUUACAUCUGAGCACCUGUGAUUUGCUGGACUACAGUUACACACCUGUCUGCUGAUAACCAGGCUCGGUUUACCUGCCGGGACGAUAUCUGCCCCAUCAGACAGCUGCCAGACUGCUAAUGAAGAGACCUGACGAGGCCGAGCGGACCGGCCGGACCGCCCAGGUACAGCUGAGGCUGCAGUGUUUUUCAGCACAACACACAUGAAAUCUUAUAUUUCACUGCCUGGUCGUUGGUGUGAACCGCCUCAGAGGUCCGACUGGCUCCAGUGAGACCAGAACCAAGAACAACAAGAAGAGCUCGAGCUGCAACGAUGUCGACAAUAAAAGUUUUAUUAUCAAAACACUUUGAAAUCAGUUAAAGUGCUUUAAAGAAAAUAAAGUGAUUAAAAGGAGAAAAGAGCAGAAAACAAACUGCUCGUGUUCAUGAUCGAAACAGAAACAAGAAAUAAACCGGACAGAACAUCUUAAAGGGACAGUACGUAAUCCGAGACACUCCUACUGUGAGCCGAGCAGCGUGGAGUUAGCCUAGCUUAGCACGAACUCGGAGCUAAAGCCGACUUCAGUUUGUAGUUUGCUAAAUGAGAAACAUUAAACGAGUUCUGCAUCUUUCAGAAGAAUCUCGAAUCUGACGAGAAGUUUUAUCUGUUGUGAUAUAAUCUGGAAUUAAAGGACCAGUUCAACGUUUUGGGUAAAACAUUUAUUUUCUGUCCGUGAGUGAGAUGAGAAGAUGGUUUUGUGACAUGACCUGGAUUUAAUUUACCUCCAGCAGAGUUCAGACAGAAUCUUUGACCAUCGUUCUUAAAUCUGAGGAUGAGUUUUUAAAAUCUGUGCCAAUAAAUCUAAGUUUUAGUAAAAUGUUUGUUUCUUUUUCUUCUGUGCUGACAGGAAAUCACUCAGAGUGAAUCACAUCUGGAAGCUAUUUGUAUUUUAAAGUUUCCUGUUAAUCAAAUAUCUUCAGAGUUGUUUCUCCUGCAUUUCCAGUCUUUAUGCUAAGCUAGGCUAAUCACAUCCUGACAGCUUCUGAUCUCACUUUUGGAAAGAGAGAAAAUAAACUUAUUUCCCAAAAUGCUGAACUUCUUCUUUAAAGCCUCGGAGCGACACAAUCUAAAAUUGAAAACAGAAACCGAUCAAAGUGAAUUUUUCAUUCUGAUCAUAGAAAUCAGGAGGAUCGAUGUGUGGAACAAGUUUCUGUUUUGACGCUGUAGAUCUGGAGAAU